rnacentral:tRNA from 1 species
UGGCUUAGUUGGUUAAAGUGCCGGACUAGCGAUACGGAGUUGUGGGUUCGAUUUCCAC